AAUAACAUAACUUGUUAUAAUCUCUGAUAUUCAGAAUAGGAUUCCAUCAGUUGCUUAUAGUGCCUUUGAAUCAAAUUAGAAUAUAGUAAAGGAAAUAUAUGUACAGUUUUCUACUUAGAAAGGAAACAUGAUUUAUUAUUCAGGUACAACAUACUAACCUUUACAAUGAACUGCAGAUCCCUUUUUUUCCUUUGUCUGGCAACAGAGGUAGCAUAUUGACGACAUAUGUAAACAUGGGUUUCUUGAAUGAAUAAGUGCCUUGGUGGCUUUAUGUUACAUAUAAGAUCUAUUAUUUUUUUUAGUACUGGUAUAUAUUAUCAGUGAUGCAAGAAAUGGAUUUACCCUGCGAAGAGCAAGAAUGGGCAUGGGAUCUGUGUCAUAUAGUGCCACUAUAAUAGUGGGACGAAAUCCUACAGAAUGAUGGGAAAAACAUCUGCUUGGCUGGGUUAAGGCAAAUUCUGAUGGAACUUUUCUGGUGGCAAACUCAAAGGGCGCGUUAGGAGUGGUCUUGAGAAAUGAAAGUGGCGAUUUCCUUGGGCCAGCUGCCCACUUCUACCCUUCAAUGUGUGAUGCUACAAUGGCAGAAGCGUUGGCGUGUCUUCAGGCAGUGCAGCUAGCGAGUGAAUUGGGUGUUUCAAAGGUAAUCCUUGAGACUGAUAGUCUAGAGGUUCAGAAGAUGGUGGCUGAUGAGGAAGUUAACAGAUCGAUGUAUGAGGCAAUAGUCCAAGGUUUUAAGCAUUGGCUAAGUUUGUUUCAAGAUUUUAGGAUCAAAUGGACCGUCGGUUGGCCAAUAUGGCUGCCCAUACUUUAGCCAAGGAAUGUUAUAUGCAAGCGAAUAUUUGUCGACCUGGUUCUUUGUCCCGCCAGAGUUUUUAAGGUCCUGAUUAGUUAAGGACUGUAAUCAAGUCAAUACUAUUGAAUGAAGUGCUAGUAGAUUCCCCUAAAAAAAGUUCAGUGGGAUGAAGUGUGUAGUAGUGUGGCAUGCUGCAUGCACACAAGAACUGGACAAAAGGAGAAGAAAAAUGAAAAGGAAAUGCAGCAUCAACCUACUGUAAGAGCCCUGCAAAAUCUUUAUCAAGUUUACUUCACCUUUGGAGUACUUAUUUUUAUUGGAUCAAUUUCAUACUAGGUCAGUAUAUUCUUGACUAGUCCAACUCUCCGAGGUAACAGGCACUUUCCACUCUCUGGAGCCAUUAUGAAUUUCCACAUUCUCAACUCACCAACAUGAGGUCAUUCUGUAUUAUGAAAGGAUAGCUUUCUCUAAUUUUGUGCGACAAAAAUAUUAUAUGAUAGAUGCUCUUCUAUGUAUAAUUAAUACAAGAAGUUCGAUCGUUUCAAACAUACAAAAUUGGAUAUUGUCAAUUGUAAAAAUUUUAAGAAAAUACAGCAACAGCAAGCUCAUUGCUGUUCAUCGUUUCUCCAGGCUGCACAUGCUGAGGAUGGAUGACUUUGCAGGGGUCCUUGCUGCAUUAAUUUGUCACAUAGUCCUCUCUUCCUUCCUCACCACUUGGAACGAUAAGGAGGAGACAUAUGAGUCCUUGCUGGACAUGACCUUGCUUUUAGCAUCUCUUAUAAUUCUACUCUACACUGCAUCUGUUAACUCAGAGAUUUCCAACCAUCAAGACUCCAACCUGUACUUUCGGUUGUGUACAUAGAAUUGACAUCCAGAAUUUGAUUCCAUCAGUUGGCUGUACUAUCUGUAAAUCAAAUUUGAAGAUAACAAAAGAAACAGGUUGUUUAUUACUUCACGAAAUGAGAAGGGUGGUUUCAUGUCAGCAUGGGCUUCUUUAAUGGACUUAGUCUUGGAUAAUUUUUGUUUCACUUGGGAUAUUUGUAAUGCUACCAAGAAGUGCAUUCAUUGUAAGCCAAGGGCAAGAGCGAAGCUACUUCAGUUUUGGUUCUGUGAAUACCAAGUAGAGGAGAAGCAGCACUAGACUAGUUCGCAAAUAUCCAUGCAUGCACCCUCAGACAAAAAGCAGUGCACAGAUCACGUGGGCUAUAGCCUCAUACAUUUUGCAUUAUGUACACUUGUAAUAUGAUAGGUCAUUGUCAAGCACUAGUACAUGCUGCAUUCUAGUGCAUGCAUUCCAGUGGGAUAUGCAUUCCAGUGCAUGCAUAGUCUGGCAAAUUGCAUUCGAACCGUGUAUGACAUAUCGAACGAUAGAAACAAAUUGCACUGACGUGGACAUAGAAGGAGGCCUUGGCAGA